rnacentral:sRNA from 1 species
GCCGGGUGCAGUGGUGCACACCUGUAAUCCCAGCAGCUCAGGAGGCUGAGACAGGAGGAUCGAGAGUUCAAGGCCAGCCUCAGCAACUUAAUGAGAUCUAGGUCUCUG